UUGAGACGCGGCAGACGGCUCAGUAACACGUGGCUAACCUACCCUCAGGACAGGGACAAACCCGGGAAACUGGGGCUAAUACCAGAUAGGCGAAGAUGCCUGGAAUGGUUUUUCGCUCAAAGGACCUUCGAAACAUGCUUUCAAGUCGCCUGAGGAUGGGGCCGCGUCCGAUCAGGUUGUUGGUGAGGUAACGGCUCACCAAGCCUAUAACCGGUACGGGCCGUGAGAGCGGUAGCCCGGAGAUGGGUACUGAGACAAGGACCCAGGCCCUACGGGGCGCAGCAGUCGCGAAAACUCCGCAAUGCACGAAAGUGUGACGGGGCUACCCCGAGUGCUCUCCGCUGAGGAAAGCUUUUCUCUGGUGUAACAAGCCAGGGGAAUAAGGAGAGGGCAAGACUGGUGUCAGCCGCCGCGGUAAUACCAGCUCUCCGAGUGGUAGGGAUGUUUAUUGGGCUUAAAGCGUCCGUAGCCGGCUUAGCAAGUCUCCUGAUUCAUUCAGCGACCUAAUCGUUGAGCC
rnacentral:rRNA from 1 species